rnacentral:rRNA from 1 species
CAAUAAGCGGAGGAAAAGAAACUAACAAGGAUUCCCCUAGUAACUGCGAGUGAAGCGGGAAAAGCUCAAAUUUAAAAUCUGGUGGUCUUCGGCCAUCCGAGUUGUAAUCUAGAGAAGUGUUACCCGCGUCGGACCGUGUACAAGUCUCCUGGAAUGGAGCGUCAUAGAGGGUGAGAAUCCCGUCUUUGACACGGACUACCGAGGCUUUGUGGUGCGCUCUCAAAGAGUCGAGUUGUUUGGGAAUGCAGCUCAAAAUGGGUGGUAAAUUCCAUCUAAAGCUAAAUAUUGGCGAGAGACCGAUAGCGAACAAGUACCGUGAGGGAAAGAUGAAAAGAACUUUGGAAAGAGAGUUAAACAGUACGUGAAAUUGCUAAAAGGGAAACGCUUGAAGUCAGUCGCGUUGGCCGGAAAUCAGCCUUGCUUUUGCUGGGUGUACUUUCUGGUUGACGGGCCAGCAUCAGUUUUGACCGGUGGAAAAAGUCUAGGGGAAUGUGGCAUCUUCGGAUGUGUUAUAGCCCUUGGUCGUAUACAUCGGUUGGGACUGAGGAACUCAGCACGCCGCAAGGCCGGGUCUUUGACCACGUUCGUGCUUAGGAUGCUGG